rnacentral:rRNA from 1 species
GACGUAGGGGGCGAGCGUUACUCGGAAUCACUAGGCGUAAAGCGCGCGCAGGCGGGUGCGUAAGCCUGCUGUGAAAUCUCUCGGCUCAACUGGGAGGGGUCAGCGGAAACUGGGCGUCUGGAGUGCGGCAGAGGGGGGUGGAAUUCCGCGUGUAGCAGUGAAAUGCGUAGAGAUGCGGAGGAACACCGAUGGCGAAGGCAGCCCCCUGGGCCGACAUUGACGCUCAGGCACGAAAGCAUGGGGAGCAAAAGGG